UGGGGAAUAUUGCGCAAUGGCCGAAAGGCUGACGCAGCGACGCCGCGUGUGGGAGGAAGCCCUUCGGGGUGUAAACCACUGUCGGGAGGGACGAAUCGCGAACGGGCAAAUAGCCCGGACGCUUGACGGUACCUCCAAAGGAAGCACCGGCUAACUCCGUGCCAGCAGCCGCGGUAAGACGGAGGGUGCAAGCGUUGUUCGGAAUUACUGGGCGUAAAGCGCGGGCAGGUGGCCUUUUAAGUCCUUUGUGAAAUUCCGGAGCUCAACUCCGGACGUGCAUAGGAUACUGGAGGGCUAGAGACUGGUAGAGGCGAGCGGAAUUCCUGGUGUAGCGGUGGAAUGCGUAGAUAUCAGGAAGAACACCGGUGGCGAAGGCGGCUCGCUGGGCCAGUUCUGACACUCAUCCGCGAAAGCGUGGGGAGCAAACAG
rnacentral:rRNA from 1 species